GCUUACGGCACACCCGGCCUGAGUACGCCUGAUCUCGUCCGAUCUCGAAGCUAAGCAGGGUCGGGCCUGGUUAGUACUUGGAUGGGAGACCGCCUGGGAAUACCAGGUGCUGUAAGCU
rnacentral:rRNA from 1 species